rnacentral:tRNA from 1 species
GGGUAUAGCUCAGUGUUAGAGCAUGGGCCUAACAUGCACAAGGUCCUGGGUUCAAUUCCCAGUACCUCCA